rnacentral:rRNA from 1 species
CCUACGGGAGGCUGCAGUGGGGAAUAUUGGGCAAUGGGCGCAAGCCUGACCCAGCAACGCCGCGUGAAGGAAGAAGGCUUUCGGGUUUUAAACUUCCUUUAAGAGGGAAGAGCAGAAGACGGUACCUCUUGAUUAAGCCACGGCUAACUACGUGCCAGCAGCCGCGGUAAUACGUAGGUGGCAAGCGUUGUCCGGAUUUACUGGGUGUAAAGGGCGUGCAGCCGGGAAGACAAGUCAGAUGUGAAAUCCCGCGGCUCAACCGCGGAACUGCAGUUGAAACUGUUUUUCUUGAGUACCGGAGAGGUCAUCGGAAUUCCUUGUGUAGCGGUGAAAUGCGUAGAUAUAAGGAAGAACCCCGAUUGCGAAGGCAGCAUGCCGGCUUCCGACUGACGCUGAAGCACGAAAGCGUGGGGAUCGAACAGGAUUAGAUACCCGGGUAGUC